rnacentral:rRNA from 1 species
CUACGGGGGGCAGCAGUGGGGAAUAUUGGACAAUGGGGGGAACCCUGAUCCAGCCAUGCCGCGUGUGUGAAGAAGGCCCUCGGGUUGUAAAGCACUUUCAGUGAGGAAGAACGCCUGGUGGUUAAUACCCAUCAGGAAAGACAUCACUCACAGAAGAAGCACCGGCUAACUCCGUGCCAGCAGCCGCGGUAAUACGGAGGGUGCGAGCGUUAAUCGGAAUUACUGGGCGUAAAGCGCGCGUAGGUGGCUUGAUAAGCCGGUUGUGAAAGCCCCGGGCUCAACCUGGGAACGGCAUCCGGAACUGUCAAGCUAGAGUGCAGGAGAGGAAGGUAGAAUUCCCGGUGUAGCGGUGAAAUGCGUAGAGAUCGGGAGGAAUACCAGUGGCGAAGGCGGCCUUCUGGACUGACACUGACACUGAGGUGCGAAAGCGUGGGUAGCAAACAGGAUUAGAUACCCUUGUAGUC